AACCCCGGUCCCAUGCAGUCGAGCGGAAGGCCCCUUCGGUGGUACUCGAGCGGCGAACGGGUGAGUAACACGUGAGCAACCUGCCCCUGACUCUGGGAUAAGCCCGGUAAACUGGGUCUAAUACCGGAUAUGACGCAUUCUCGCAUGGGAUGUGUGUGGAAAGUUUUUCGGUUGGGGAUGGGCUCGCGGCCUAUCAGCUUGUUGGUGGGGUGAUGGCCUACCAAGGCGACGACGGGUAACCGGCCUGAGAGGGCGACCGGUCACACUGGGACUGAGACACGGCCCAGACUCCUACGGGAGGCAGCAGUGGGGAAUAUUGCGCAAUGGGCGGAAGCCUGACGCAGCGACGCCGCGUGGGGGAUGACGGCCUUCGGGUUGUAAACCUCUUUCAGCAGGGACGAAGCUAACGUGACGGUACCUGCAGAAGAAGCGCCGGCUAACUACGUGCCAGCAGCCGCGGUAAUACGUAGGGCGCAAGCGUUGUCCGGAAUUAUUGGGCGUAAAGAGCUCGUAGGCGGUUUGUCGCGUCUGUCGUGAAAGCCCACGGCUUAACUGUGGGUCUGCGGUGGAUACGGUCAGACUAGAGGCAGGUAGGGGAGAAUGGAAUUCCCGGUGUAGCGG
rnacentral:rRNA from 1 species